rnacentral:lncRNA from 1 species
UUAAUAUGUAAUGUAAGUAGAAGGCCCGAGUCAGCCAUUAUUUUGCUCAACAUUUCUGUUUUACGGUUUCUAUUGCUGUGAAGAGACACCAUGACCAAGGCAACUCUUAUAAAGGAAAACAUUUAAUUGGGGCUGCCUUACAGUUUUAGGGGAUUAGUCUAUUAUCCUCAUGGUGGGAAACAUAGUGUGCAGGCAGACAUGGUGCUGGAGAAGGAGCUGAGAGUUCCACAUCUGGAUCCAUAGACCACAGAAGUGAGUCCUACACUAGGCCUAGCUUUAACAUUUGAGACCUUUAAGCCUGCUCACGUACAUAGUGACACACUUCCUCUAAAAAGGCCACACAUCCUAAUAGUAACACUCAUUACUGUGGGCCAAACAAUCAAAUACAUGAGUCUAUGGGGACCAUUCCUAUUCAGACCACUAACUACAAUUCACCUUUAACACCACCCCCGAGACAGGGUUUCUCUGCGUAGUCUUGACUGUCCAAGAACUAGUUCUGUAGACCAGGCUGGCCUCAAGCCUUUGCCAGGAUUACAGGUGUGUGCCAUCUCUGCCUGGCUGAUUCUAUCCAACAUUUAAAUGAGCACUUGAGCUUGUAGUCCUGUUUCAUAAGCAUCAAAAAUGAAUAUAUGUUUCAUUAACAUUUUAUUAAAAAGUCCUAAAAACUAGGGAAAUGACAGAACUAUUUAUAGACAAAGAUUUAAUCAAAUAUCACUGGACUUGUAGUUAACUGCCAAAGACCUCAAGUGGUGCAUGGAACAGAAAGGUUUCCUCUUUAUUCUGGAACAAUUAGUGUUUUCCUUUUCCUUCUUCUGCUAGUGAUGAUGAUUUGAGUUGUCCAGGACAAAUCCUGGGAUGCGAUUCAGUUCUCAGUUCACUGAUAACUUUACUGCCACCACUGCCCCUUCAACACUGGAAAUACAAAGCUUUGGAAAAUCGUAAAGCUGGAUGCAAGAUUUAUCUUUCUCAGUUAUUCAGACUAAGAUUGAAAUACCUUGAUUUAGUGAACACAUUGUUAGUUGAUACCUAAUUUUAUUUUCAUAAAAUGAUUGUGUGUGUGUAAGUAAUGUGCCUUAAAUACAAGAUAGCUUUUUCUUCAAGUGUAGAAUAGUCGGUUUUAACAGCAUCUACAAGGAAUAGUUGCUUCUUAAUGGUUUAAAGAGAGGAUUUAUGUUAUUUUAAAUUCUGUGUAUAGAUCUGAAUGUCUGUGCAUAGGUGUGUGCACUUAUGCAGGUGCCUGGAAAGGCCAGAGGUGUCAGCUCCUCUGGAGCUAGAGUUUCUGGGGAUUGUGAGCCACCCAGUGUGGGUGCUGGGAACAAACUGGGGUCUUCAGAAAGAGCAGUGUCUGCUUUUAACAUCCAACCCAUCUCUGACUCUUGAUUUUUUUUUUUUUUUUUAAUUUGGAAGGUUUUUCUGGUUUGAGGACCACUUGGUUAUGCUUUUACUUACAUUUUACUUGACAGAAUUAUACAUUUAAUUUAUAAAAGCUCACAGGCAGGAUAAAAGAUGGAAACAUUUCUUAGCAGUGAUGAUGUUUAUGCUUUAUGCUCCAUUCUUCAUGCUUUAUUUUCUCCUUUGUCGGCAGCUUUCCUUUAGAUUGUGAUUUAAAUGCAAAAUCAGGUUGCUUAUCUGCACGUGGAUCUCUUGUUAGAUUGUCAAUUUGAUGACUAUCUAAUUUUUAAAAAUUUCAAUUUUUAAACUUUUUUCUUUUUGGUAGCAAUUAUAGCUAGGUCAUCUCUAGUUUUCUUUCCACUUCAGUUAUUUUCAAAAAGGAUGCUGAUUUCUAUAAGAACGCAGUCACCUAGCCUUCUGUGUGGUCAGUAGCUCUGAGCUGUGGGUUUGAUGCAGGAGUGCAGGGCGUUUCUCUACGGAUCAUUACACAGUGGUGUUGUUUUCAUUAAGGAAGAUAAGAUUUUAAUUUACUGGAUUGAGAAAUUUGGAGUAGGAAACAUUUAAACUUGUUAUAAAAUUCAUUGUGGGGGAGGGGGAGGGGUGGACGGUACAGGGAAGGGACAGACAGCAGGACAGAAGAGGGAGGGCUGAAAAAUAAACUGGGGGAGCCUGUCUCCGGAAGUUUUGAGGUCAGUCUUAGUCAGAGGUCACACCCUGUUAUUUCUUUGGGCUGUGGACCUGGGGUGUUACCGGUUGUUAUCUGCUAUACUUUGAAAUGUUGAUUAGAAGAUUGAUUUUUGUUCUUGGCUUUUCCACAUCUGGAUUCAUUAAACCGUUGAAUUUCUAAUCCUUUUUACAUAAUCAGUGUGUCCUCGGGUGGUAGAAUUUCCACUAUACCUGAUAAGAGAAGGUUUGGACAAAAGGUCUGAUCUACCCUACAUUUCUGAUUUCUGUAAGAGGGAUGCUAAUAAUUGUAUAUAAGGAGCUAAGAGGCAAGCUUUGAGCUGCUUGCUCAAGUUCAUUGUGCUUCCUGUACAACUGUAAUGAUAAUAAUAGUACCUACAGCACUUAUGGUAUUAGGAAGACUGGCAUUGCGCAUGCGAGCCUUUAGCAGUAUCUGGCUCAGUGCCCACUAAGUGCUAGUCACUGUAGUAAUACAGAGUGCAGUGUUACGUUAUUGUUGUAUUUGUGAAGUUGCUCUGUUUUCAAAAACUGAUGUCAUUUGUGAUCUUUGCUUUUGAAUAUGUUCCUAUUUUGAAUACUGUCUUUAUUCAGCAGAAGAUAUUUACUGAAUACCUACUGUGUCAGGCAUUGAUCUAAGUGAACAAAGCAUAAAAAUACCUGAUUGCUGAAACUUAUCUCUGGUUGGAGGAGGCAGGACACACACAAUAAAGCAAAACAGAAAUUGGGAGGCAGAGGCAGUUGAAUUUCUGAGUUUCAGGCCAGCCUGGUCUACAGAGUGUGUUCCAGGACAGUCAGGGCUAUACAGAGAAACCCUGUCUCAAAAAAAAAAACCAAAAAAAACC